rnacentral:rRNA from 1 species
GGGGGCCCGCAAGCGGUGGAGCAUGUGGUUUAAUUCGACGCAACGCGAAGAACCUUACCUGGGCUCGAAAUGUAGUGGAAUCCGGCAGAAACGUCGGCGUCUAGCAAUAGACCGCUAUAUAGGUGCUGCAUGGCUGUCGUCAGCUCGUGUCGUGAGAUGUUGGGUUAAGUCCCGCAACGAGCGCAACCCUUAUCUUCAGUUGCUACCAUUUAGUUGAGCACUCUGACGAAACCGCCUCGGAUAACGGGGAGGAAGGUGGGGAUGACGUCAAGUCCUCAUGGCCUUUAUGUCCAGGGCUACACACGUGCUACAAUGGCCGGUACAAACCGCUGCAAACCCGCGAGGGGGAGCUAAUCGGAAAAAGCCGGCCUCAGUUCGGAUUGGAGUCUGCAACUCGACUCCAUGAAGCUGGAAUCGCUAGUAAUCGCGGAUCAGCACGCCGCGGUGAAUACGUUCCCGGGCCUUGUACACACC